rnacentral:rRNA from 1 species
UACGUAGGGUGCGAGCGUUGUCCGGAAUUAUUGGGCGUAAAGAGCUCGUAGGCGGUGUGUCGCGUCGGCCGUGAAAACCUGCAGCUUAACUGUGGGCUUGCGGUCGAUACGGGCAUCACUGGAGUUCGGCAGGGGAGACUGGAAUUCCUGGUGUAGCGGUGAAAUGCGCAGAUAUCAGGAGGAACACCAAUGGCGAAGGCAGCUCGCUGGGACGGUACUGACGCUGAGGCGCGAAAGCGUGGGGAUCAAACAGG